GAUGCACUUCACUUGCAAUGCAGAUCAUCAUUUUUGGACAGCUUUCUACUUACUGCUGUGGACAUGAAAGGAUCGUCCUAGGCUUGCCCAUGCUGAUGGGCUGCACCACAGCAGUACUGGAGCUGAAUUCCUGUUGGACAACAUCUUCAGGAUGCUUUGACUAGGACACCUCCAAUGUGAAGCAGUGGACAGCUAAAGAUGUUGCUGGCUGUUAUUGCUAGACA